UACGGGGGGGGCAAGCGUUGUUCGGAAUUACUGGGCGUAAAGGGCGCGUAGGCGGUUCGCUAAGUUGAAUGUGAAAACUCUGGGCUUAACCCAGAGCCUGCAUUCAAUACUGGCGGGCUAGAGUUCUGGAGGGGAUAGCGGAAUUCCUGGUGUAGCGGUGAAAUGCGUAGAUAUCAGGAGGAACACCGGUGGCGAAGGCGGGUCUCUGGGCCGAAACUGACGCUGAGGAGCGAAAGCGUGGGGAGCAAACAGG
rnacentral:rRNA from 1 species